rnacentral:rRNA from 1 species
UACGUAGGGGGCAAGCGUUGUCCGGAUUUAUUGGGCGUAAAGCGCGCGCAGGCGGCUUACUAAGUCUGGUGUGAAAGCCCACGGCUCAACCGUGGAGGGCCAUUGGAAACUGGUAAGCUUGAGUGCAGGAGAGGAGAGCGGAAUUCCUGGUGUAGCGGUGAAAUGCGCAGAUAUCAGGAGGAACACCGGUGGCGAAGGCGCCGCUCUGGGCCGAAACUGACGCUGAGGAGCGAAAGCGUGGGGAGCGAACAGG